CGGGAAGUAGCGCAGUCUGGUUAGCGUAUCUGCUUUGGGAGCAGAGGGCCGUGGGUUCGAAUCCCACCUUCCCGACCA
rnacentral:tRNA from 1 species